GAGCACGUAGGUGGGUUUGUAAGUCAGAUGUGAAAGCCUUCUGUUCAACGGAAGAAUUGCAUCUGAAACUGCGAGUCUUGAGUGUAGGAGGGGAGAAUGGAACUUCUGGUGAAGCGGUGAAAUGCGUAGAUAUCAGAAGGAACUCCGGCGGCGAAAGCGAUUCUCUGGCCUAUUACUGACACUCAGUGUGCGAAAGCUAGGGGAGCAAACGGGAUUAGAUACCCCGGUAGUCCUAGCCGUAAACGAUGGGCACUAAGUAGAGGGGUUUU
rnacentral:rRNA from 1 species